GGCGGGGGCCGCAGCCCCGCGGCGUUCACCUCGGCCCCGGCCCCGCCGCCACCCAGGUAAAAGAAAACUAUGGGCAAUGUCUGAUAAUGCGCCUGUCCUCUACUCAGACUUGCCCCCUUCAAUGACUAGAGUCACUUCUCAAUGACUGGAGGCUCUGCAGAGUGGGGAAGUGAAAACCAGAACCCGCCUCUCCGAAGAUAAAGUUGAAAAAAAGCAAAUGAGCAAAAACAAACAAACAAACAAAAAAUACUCCCUUAACCUGGUACGUGAAAGACACAGCUUGCCAGAGUGGAAUUCAUGUACCUCCUGAAAUAUUUAAGACACCUGCAGUGAGAUUAUUUUUCCUCUUUUAAUUUGAAGAACCUGCAUUUCUCAGUUCUGAGGCAUUUCUCUGGCGGUAAUGUGUGCCAAAUAACUGGCAGUCUGGCACAACAGCACUUAUAUUCCAAGUAUUAUAAAAGAUAGAUAACAAGAAACCUGUUGCUUUUCUUUUCAGGGGAACUGAACCAUGAAUCUUAUAUGGCAUCAGUAGGUACAGAUAUAAACCCCUCUCCACUGUUUUUCUCUGCUUCUGUGACAUAAAAUUAAGGCCCAAAUUCUACAAAAUAUUUAACAGGAAAAAUCUCACAGCCCAAAAGCUCUCCUGAGGCAGUAUUUGCAUACAAUUUGUUGCAAGAUUAGGAUCAGAGGUUUUUUUCUCCCUAUUUUUCUACCUCAUUGGGUGUUAUUCUGGCAUUGCUAUGUUUUUCCAUUUACAUUGUUUUGACUAGAGUCAAAAUUGUUGUUACAUUUUAAGUCAGUGUCUGCUCUACUAAUUGAUGGGCUGCUAAAGAUCAGCCACGGAGAGUUAGAUUUCAGAGCAAGAAUCUGGCUCACAGAAGAAGUGAUUACAUGAGAUAUGUAAGGACCAAAGCCUGUAAGACCGAUUCAAACCCUAAAUGAUUUGACCAAGAGUACAAGGCAGUGAUACAUUCACAGUGAAAAUAUGGCACCUGGUCACAGUGUCUGACUUCCACUUCUUCCAUCCAACUUUAGCUGUCCUCCUUUUGCAGAGGUCAAAGCAUUGUAUAAAUAUCAGUUAAGCAGAGUAAAAUCAGCUCCUUUAAAAUAUUUAGCUACCAUCUACCAGUGCUUUAUAAUAUGAAGAACAUACCUCUGCUCUCCUGGAACAUGGCAGGAAGCAGAAGUUUCUCUUUUGAAGGCAAUGAAGUUCCUCUGCAUCUGACUUCCAAGCAGUGUCUAACCUUGCUAUAUAUUUUAAUCUAACAGUAAGAUUUUUACUUCAGAACUUGUUUUCAUUCUGAAUCUGAGAGAGAAAGUGGGCACACUGUAGAUUUCUUGUAAAAAAUUUGUAUAACCAUGCUUAUCAAAUUUUAAACAGUAGCACCAGUAUUGCAAUACUUACUUUACCAUUAUAUUAAAAACAAAAGCAACUGAAAGGAAGUCAGCACGAAAAGUUUUCCUCUUAUCAGAGUAAAUGAGAAUAUUGAUAUAAUGCAUUUCUGCUCUCUGCCUUUUAAAAUGGCAUUGAAAGCAACACAUUCUUACAAUAAAGUUUGCAUUUCACUCAAAGUGCAUUUUCCAACUGGAAAGUGUAAAGGCGAAUAUUUCAGGAUUGGUCCUACUUGAUGGUGCUUUGCAAAUACUCUCUAUUAACCUGAAUGACUGCGUAAGGUAGAGGAAAUCGGUAAACCUGGCCCUCUGAGAGCAGAGGAGCAAGUUGUUAAUGUUAAUGGGUAUCAAUUCACAUAUAUUUGCUUACAGAGAUCUGUGGCAGCUCUGAGUGUUUCACUGUGUCCAAUUUCUUCUUGCAUAAAUAAAGAAGAGCAUGAAUACUUGAAAAGAUGAAGGCUUCUCUGGAGCAGAAGAGCCAGAACUACUACAAGGAAAUUCUUGUGCUUCUUUAAUUACCCUCCUUUGCCCAUAGGUGGAAUUUCCACUCGGACAGCCCCAGCAAGCAGACUGCUAGCCUGGGAAGAGAUGUCUGUUUGUCUUUGUACAGCAAACACUGGCUGUGUUGUGCAGCUCAAGCUUCUGAUUCAAAUGAUUUCCUGAAUUCAUUCUGCUUCAUACCUCAGGGAAGGAAGAGGUGAUCCUCUUGAAAAUUCAUAUAAUUGCUUUUAUUUGAUUUUUAUUAAACCUCAUUCAAGAAUAAUGUGAUGGCUUUCUUUAUUACAUUGUUCAUCACUGCGGCAUUUUUUGAAUUUACUUUGCUAAAAGAAGCAGUUUACUAAGCCAAAGAUUGAAUUCAAGGAUUUUUGCAGAGAGAAAGCUGAGAGCUUUUUUCAAGUUCCUUUGAUUUCAAAGACUUUUGUAACAUUGAUACCCAUCUAAGAUUAUCUCUGCUUUUAUUCUCUAGUAGCUUGAACAUCUCUCCAGGCCUGAGCAGUCAGGCCAUUCUGCAGUGUGCCAUGUGUGUGUGCUGGGAUUCAGCAGGGCCAGCUGUGCCGCAGCUUCAACCCAGCUCGGCCUGAGUGCCAGGGAGCUGCCAGAGUGCCCAACCCACUCCCCUCCCCAUACCAGCCGUCCCACCACCUGCUUAGGCUGCCUCUUGCUGCCAUGCUGAUGGCAGUGGACAAAGGGAAAGGCUGCAGCUGUAGUGUGGAAAGCUACAGCAAGGAGUGGGUUCAUUGACCCCCCUCUAAAUUCUUUGUAGCUGCCACAGAGAUUGCUCCCAUUUUAAAAUUGGGAUGACUGAUGCAGAGAAGCAAAGUAAAUAAUCUGCACUUAGCAUGAAUAAAAGUAGCCGAGCAAUUAAAAUUCAGAACUGGCAACUUCAUGUCACUAGCAUCAAGCUAUACAGAUUUGGAAAAUUUGAUCUAUUUACCUCUUUGCCACUGGUGUGACAUCAUCUACUGUCCAUCAGUAACUCACACACAGAGCUACCUGAAGUGCAAUUUUAUGAGACUUUUUAAAGAGAAUUAUUUUUGGUCAUUUAAAGAUAGGUGUUUAGGAACAUGAGAAUGUUCAUAUAUUAUUAUAGCAAUUUUCCCCUCUUUUCCAUUUUAUCACAGGAAAUAACAUCUCAAAACACUAUGAGUACUUUGUAGAAGGUUCUUUUUUAUCUUAAAAAGUUUUUAACAAGAGUCCAGUCAUCUUAGUUAAUCCCUUUAAGCCAUGUCAAUAUUUAUUCUUAAGUAGAGUUUCAAAUAUUAGAGCAGCUGCACUCAGCUUAAUAGGGACAAUUCCCAUUGACUGGGAAUUAUGGCCAAGUACUGCAGGGGCUGACCUUGAGUCCUCAGGCCUACAGUUUAAAUGGCAAUAAGGGUGGCGGUGUGUCUGUUGGUUUAUGCCUCUGUCUGUAGGUAAGCACAAACCCCAGGGCUGCUUAAGGACCCUUAAUAAGCACUGCAGCUACUUCCCAGGGCUCUGGAAACCCUGUGUGAGGUGAGGCAUGUAUUUUUUAUGCUACUGGCAUCUAGACUUCUGUUUUCUAACAGUGACAGAAUAAUGGCAAUGGAUUUGGGAUAAAAGACAGGCAGAUGUACCACCAUUUCAUCAUAUAGUUACUCCUCAUCCCUCUUUCCUAAGGCAAGAAACAGGUUACUUCAUAUCACAUGGAGUACCUUGCCUUUGCCCCUCUCUCAGGGCAGGUGUGUUUGAGUCAGAGAACUUCGCUGUUCCAAGAGUCAGCUGGCAUUACGCUCUCUAAGACCCUCCAAAAGAGUGCUCUGCUCACAACCUCUAAAUUAAACUGAUCACCAGUUUUCUGGGCAGGAUUUUUUCUUCCAUUUAAAAGUUCUCUUUUUCUUUGCUUUAUUUCCGACAACACAAAACACAGUUGCUGUCUAUAGCCAUAGGGAAGUUUUAUUCAGUAAGUCCUCUGCUACCGUGGUGACACAGGAUUUUCAUGGUAGUACUGAUUCCUUUGUUGUCUUUCUGUGGUACUACAUUACAGCUAUGGCUUUUUUUUCUUUCCUUUUCCUUUUCCUUUUCCUUUUCCUUUUCCUUUUCCUUUUCCUUUUCCUUUUCCUUUUCCUUUUCCUUUUCCUUUUUUUCCAAGCAGAGGUUUUAUUUCUCCUGAGGAACAUUAAGAAGUAUUUCCCUCCCUGGGGAUGUGGAUUCUCCAUUCUGAAGAAGCCUGGGUCAUUGGAUGUCUCUUGCACAGAGAACACUUCGGAUGUCUCCGCCAGUGUUCCCAGAAAAGGGAGAUGUUUCCUGUCUGGUAGUACAGAGCAGCUGAUCAUUUCCAUGUUAUGCUGAACACAAAAACUGGACCCACUCUCAUAGUCCUCAGUGUGGGGCACCAUGUGAAUACAAAGAAGACAAUGACUGAAGGAGUUUUAAUCUUCCCUGGCCUCUCAGAUACCUUGGGGGACUCCUGGCCUUGGACCCCCUGCUCCCUGUCAUUUUUCUGACCACUUCUGGUGGGAUCCUGUGCUGUUUGCACUUAAAGUUACUGAAGUGAACCGAAAAUUGUAAGUCUCCAGCAAAGAUUAAAUGGCACAAAAAGGUGAGUAAAUAUAAACAGUGAAGUGAAAGAAGGUGGCUAGGCUUGAGAGCAGCAAGUACUAAAUGAUGUAUUUCAUAAGACCUUGAGCCUGCACUUUCCUAACAUGUUUUUAUAACAUGAUUCUAAAGGCUCCAUCUGCUUAACUUUUUCCUUCCAGAUUAAUGAUCGUUUUAGGACAACUCAGAUUUGGUUACUGUUAGCUCUAACAUUUUCAGAGAGGCUGACUUCCCCAUCAUGAGAUAAAUUGCUAGGAUAUAUGGUGCAUGCAGAGAAUUUUCUGGUCCAAACUGGAACAAUCUCUCUGCAUAGGCACAUUUACUUUUAAUUAAAAAAAACAAAAAACAAACAAACAAAAAACAAACAAACAAAAAAAACCUGUAGAUAAUUCCAUGCUUUUCACAGUAUUAACUUCACAGACAAAAACAAAAAAUCAAAAUGUUAACCCUGUCUCUCUUAUGUCUUCCAGUGUUCAAUUCCAUUCUGGUAAAGGUUUGCUACAAUUAAUCAUUUUUACAACUAUUUUAGGCUUAAAUCCCUUAAAAAACGUUCUGGAUCUGGAAUCUGACUAAAUCAGAAAUGAAAGAAAAUGUUUCCCAUUGCUUUCUGCUGAUGCUGAAGAUUUUGCAUAUUAGUCUAAUGUAACCUUGUAGUGUUGAGGUGUCCUCCAGGCUGGCUCUGGAGACCCCGCCGGCUGCUGCAGCUGCUGUGACUCCUGCUGCACUAAGAGCUUUUACAUCUGAGUGCUCUGCAGUAUAAAUGGGCAGCAACACUGCUUCUUUGCUUGGUCUCCCUGGAACAACUCUAAAAUAAAC
ensembl:lncRNA